rnacentral:lncRNA from 1 species
CGUCAAUAGAGUCUGGUUUGGACGUCGGGGUCCUUUUGUGUGGAUGCUGCGACGUCAUUGUGUCCUCAUGUCCAUCAUGUCUCUUCCGUGGUUUUUCAUCAAUUCUGAUUCGAUAGCCAGAUUGUCUACAUUACUACAGAAUUCUUAUCCAUAAAAUAUUAAAAAGUCAUGCAAUUUAUAAAUUAAUAUUUAUAUAUUGCAUGAUUUUAUAUUUAACAAAAUACCAAAAUACAGACCAAACUGAAAACAGAAUCAAACAAAACUAAACAGACAUUGAUUUCCAUUGAAAUACUAUGAAAAUACUAUUAUUGAAGUUUUUGAUUAUAUAAUUAUGUAAAGACAACAUUGAAUUACAGAAAAUAUGUUGUUAUAAUUAAGAAAUAAGUCUGAGAAAAUUCAGUUUAGAAGAAAAAUGAAAUUUUGGCAUUUAGAAGAGAUCAAAGAAUCUAAAGAUCUAUACUUUAACUAAAUAUAAACAAAGAAAAUUAUUACUUUAAUUAGAGAACAGAAGUCAGCUGAAAAAUAAAAUUAAGGUGAACACUGGUUUACAGAUCCCCAAUAUAAGGGAUUCCAAUUCAAUUUUACAAGAAAUUUAUAACAAGCAAAAGUUUCAAACUCACGUAAGGCACUUCUUGUCGAGAUAAAAUACUAUAUAAAGAGUGAAAAUGAUUACGGAGAAUUUACACAAAUGUUUUUUAUAAAACACUUUCAAAUUUUUAAAUAUUUUACAUACAUUUAUUUAAAACAGCAUUUGAAUGCUGUUUUAUUUUACAUAUGGAAUGCAUUUUGCUAAAUUUGAAUAUAAUAGACAAUCAAUCCGGAUUCAUCACGCUAAAUGAUUCUGACUUUUCAUCCAUAAAACCAGAAUUGAAUCCAGGUUUUAAUCCUCAAAAUUUAUAUGAAAGAUCCUAGUUCAGCUGUUGGUUUUCUACAAUCCAGUUCACCUCUCCAGCAUCAACCAAAUGGUUGCACAGUACAGCAUUGCCUUACAACCCGAAGUUUCAGAUUCAAAUCUGGAUCUGAUAUUCAUAUUUUUUCAGGUGGGUCUCAGCUCAUUGAACUAAAUCCUUCAACUGAUGUCCCACUCUACUAUGAAUGUGAGUGAUUGGUAUUUAUGUGGUUUAUUGUUUUGUGGGGAUGUAGGUAGACAACAGAAAGGUUAGGUUAAUUUUUGUUAAGCCAGCUUAUUGCACAUAUCUGAGUGGCCACUUUUAGAACCUAUCAUAGGUUGGCCAAUAUCCAUGAUGAGGCUGACUGAAGUUUGAAGGAUGGGAUUCAAUAGCUGUACUUCCAAAAAUAUGAUAUGGUGGGAUCCAAAUUUGAACCCAGAUUCUCCAAGGUAGUAAGCAAAUGCUUUACCAUGCAGCCAUUUUGGCUGGCAACAGCAGUG